UCCGCCGUCGCUCGUCGCACCGCCGUCCGCCACUCGCCAGUAUCGCGUCGGUCCUCGCGCGCUACACACAGCCGCAGCAUUACAGUUCGUUGCUCGCCGCUGCCGAGUCUGAACACGCAUACCUAUAUACCUGUAUUAUAUACCGGCAGCACACUCGCGGUCUUCUCGUCUAUCUCCUCGGACGAUAGACCCUCUCUCUCUCGCGGCUGCAAACGCACGUAUUCACACACUGUAGCUUGCAGGGCCAGUAUAUAGAGUAGUUAGCAUACGAUCCGUGCGCAGGAUGUUUGGGCUUCGGUGCACGAUCGCCGAUGUUUGAUACAGAAGUGGAUAUUUUCGAGGGGAACGCUCGCGAGCCGGAGCGGCGCCCGCGGAAUGAUAUCGCAGUGCUUCAGUGCUUCUUGAGUUCUUAUCAUACCACCUGCUGAAGAGGUGUACCAGUGACGAAACUUGCAGUUUUUCCAAGUGAUACCCUGUGACAUUCCGUGUGCGGACACUGCCGGAGAGGACUUUACCGCCGCCGGAGCCGACCGGGAUUCAUCGUUCCUGCUGCCUUGGGUGAACGAGCCUGCUGCAGCGCUGCUGACAUCAUAUCGGGCCAAGAACCCGCGACUGUCAACAAAUGGAGCAUAGACGGCCAAGCAGGUCGAAGCAGCAGGAGCAGCCGCAAGAAGCCCAUCUUCGCCGCCGCAGCCAUCUGAACCUCGACGAAUAACAGCGCGUACCUCACUCGAAGAGCGCGCGCGGCCGGAAAGCUGGGUGAGCUGUGUCAUUGGAGAAAAAUUUGCAAAUCUAAGGGCAUCAUUCGGUCUUCCAAGGAGACUGUCGCGCACGUCCUGCUGCAGGGAUGGCAGCGACCGACGGCCAGAUAAUAGUGGCGGCAGCCCGCUGGGCCGACGAGGCCACGUAUCUGCGCGACUUUGUCGGCAAGUAUCGGCUGCCCGCCGUCAUCAAGAUCACCAAGGGCCAGUACGGCGGCCUCGGCGUGCCCACCCUGCCCGCACCCGGCCUGCAGAGCACCGCGCUACUCGUGUCUGCCGGCCGGAGGCGCAAGAUCGUCGCCCAGGCUGUCAAAAUUAAGGAGGGACGCCGAGUGGUAGGCGUGGGACCUCGGCUGGCGAUUCCGGACUCGUACGUGGGCUACUUCGAGAUUCUGAGCGAGGAGGGCCGCGCGGUGCGGGGCAUCGAGUCCGUCAGCGAGCUCGCCCGGCGAUGUCCGGAGGAGGGCGCCCUAGUCCGCGAAACGGUGCGCGCCGUCGCGUGCAAGCUCGACGAGUCGGGCAUCGUCGUGCCAGAGGGCAGUCGCAGCCUCGCCGCCGGCGAGACGAUCGCCGUGCUCGGUGAGCUGAGCCUGCCGGGCCGGGGACGCUUCCUGCGCUGCGUCGACUGUCGGGGCGACAACGUUCUCCUGCCCAUGGACCAGAGGGCGCGGUUCAGUGCGCUCGCGCGCGAGGACAACAUCAGCGGCGUUCACACGGCCAGGGCGCUCCUGAGCAAGAGGCUGCCCCUCACAGUCCGGCUCGUCCACGGGCAGCCGCCCAGGGGACUCAAGUCAUCCUCUCAGUUCUUGCCCGAGCUCAGACUGCUCUCGAGCUUCGAGGAGGAGCACGUGUUCGCGCUGCCGCUGCAGAGGGAGGGCGCUGCGGUCGCGCUGCCCCUCGCCGCUCCGCUCAAGCUGGUCAAGGCGAGGAACGAGGAGGCGCUCAGAGCGAUGCCCGAGUUCACGAGGCUCGUCGACAGGGCGUCGAGGCUCGUGGCCGACGUAGCCGACAGAGCACACGUACUCGACGGGCGACUGGGCGAGAGCAAGCCCAGCCGGCAGGCGCGGAGCGGUGGUUUUCUGCGGCGCUCGGCGAGUUCGGAUAACGCGAACGCGCCGAGUCACCAUCGGCAUAGUCACAGCGCCCACCAUCAUCAUUACCAUCACCAGCACAGCGUACCGGGACACGGCUACGGCCGCGACGAGAACAGAGUGCCUCCGGCCUCCUACACCGAGGAGUACGACGAGAUCGACCAAAUCUACGACUACGUCAGGGGCUUCGCGCCUCUGCCCAAGAGCGUCAGGUCGCCAUACGAGACUCCCGCGCCCCUCGGCAACGGACUUUGCAGCAGUAAUCAACAGAACAACGGCCUGGGUAGCCCGGCGUUGACGCCGGUGACAGUGACGAUCGCGCCGCUGCUGGACGACAGACCAGAGCCGCCGCCGAUCGAGACGAUACCCACGAAGAAGAACCAGGCUGAGAAGCGAACACGUCGCGCCGUCAAGGAGACUCUACCGCCGACGACCACGACGACGACGUCGAUGGCUCACCACCGCGUGGAGAAGCCGCCGCUGGCCAAGCUCUACGUGAAGAACAGCGGCACACAGCGCGGCCGGCCGCUCAUGAGGCAAAAGAGUGCCUCGCCGCUCAAGGAGACGCCGCCGGGCUUCAAGGGUGGCUCGCCGCUCUUCAACAUUCGCUACAAGAGCCUGACGAAUCUGCAGCAGGCCAUGGAGCUCGACGGCACGCUCGACUCGAGCCACUCGGGCGGCAGAACCUCGGGAGACUCCGGUGCCGGUGCCAAGCUGCCCGAAAAGAGCUUACAUUAUACGGAAUUCGAACGAGCUAACAGGCAUCUCAUCCGUAGGCUUAUCAACAAGAGCUUAUGUCCGAUUUUAAUAUUGUCCAAGAAAAAUCGCGGCGACUGAGCAGACCGCGCUCCUUGACGAACCUCGUCUGGGAGCUGCGCAACGGAAGCGGCAUCGGCGGCGGCUGUGUCAGACCGGAAACGCCGCCAACGCAGACGGUGGCACCCCUGCCGCCAACCAAAUGCGGACCCCGGCUCGCCGUCACCGUCGUCGCACCCAGGCGCGUCGGGACACUCUACCUCUAACACAUCGACGUAAUGCCGAAAGACUCAAAGAAGCGUAUGAGUGAAGCCGAUCUCCGAUAAAUCGUGACAAAUCAAAAGAAGAUUAGAGAAGGAUGCAGAUUCAUAUAGAUGACGCAUAGAUGCAUCGAUUAUAUAACUUUAAAAAACUAAGGCCAGGAAAUCAACGCGAGGAGAGGAAAACCCAAAGCUCAAACCACAAACCACGCGGAAGAUUCUCCCGACAUCAAAACUCUAUUAUAAUUGAAGCAUAAAUUGAUGUAUUCCGUUGUACUGAUCGAUCAUGGAUCUUCCGAUAUAUUUAUUCGCGCAGCCCAGCAGAACCCAAGCUUUACUUCUUGAGUACUCUUGAGUCAUAAGAAAUAAGUCAUUAUAUCGUGUGCGUCUUUGUGUAGCUUUCUAUUUUAUCGUGUACUUUCUCGUGUUUAGGCGAAUAAAAAUUCGAGUACUGUGAAAAGGGUUCCGCGGGAUUUUGCGACCAAUAAUGGGCUCGUCGUAUAUGGCUAAUUGGAUGAUCGCGCGUAUUAAGAGUUGCAUGAUUUUUUAAAUUCAGAAAUCCCUUGUUGUUUCUCAUUUUAGUGGAUUAUAUACUAAUUCUAUUACACAAUAUUUCUAUUCUCUAUGAUAUUUCAAAAGCUGACGAGAUUACUUUGAUGAAAGCCACUCAACGAUGCGAGUGGCUUUCAUUAAAAUGUCUUGACGGUCUUUAAAAUAAAUAUAAAUUAUAGGAUUAGAAUAAUUAUUAUUAGGCUAUAGAAUCUACUAAAACAUAAGCUUUGUAAACGCCACAUAAAAUCAUUAAAUGUUGCACAAAAUCUAUUUGAGUAGAUUUUAUUCAACCGUUUUGUACAUUUUGGAUAAUAACAUGCUAAAUCGUCAAUUGCAUACAGAAGAUACAAUUUGACGUUGAGUGUUAUAUCGAGUCUUAGUUAUAAUUUUGCUGCGUUAGCAAAUUUUUCGCUAAGACAGAAGAAUAAUCUCUCGGUAUGCAAACAAAAAAAACUUAUGUGAUUACUAGUUAUUACCAUCUGAUUACUAGACAAAAACUGAAAUAAUGCGAUCAGCCAAUGUUUCCAUAUGUGAAUCUCCUUGCAGCGAUUUUUAAGAUGAAACGGCGAAGAAAAAAUGUAGAGCCUUACAUGCGUUAUGAGAUUUAUACAUUUUAAAAAACGAAAGAAAAGCGUUGUGUAAUUUGAAGGAGCGUGAUGAUAAAGAUAAUGAUAACGAUGACAAUGACGACGACGACGACGAUGAUGAUGAUGAUGAUGAUGAUGAUGAUGAUGAUGAUGAUGAUGAUGAUGAUAUGGUGAUGACAAUGAUGAUAAUGAUGAUGAUAAUGCUGCUGAUAAUGAUUAAUGAUAAGGGUGAUGAAGAUGUUAUUGAUGUGCGCGCAAAGACACGAAUGCCAUAUAAUGAAUAACCAAGUUUUUGUGGUUGUACUUAAGUCAUACCUUUAUACUUAUUAGUUUUUACAGAUUUAACUCUAUUUGGAUAAAAGAAGUAACGAUUGCAUUUCCAAUUAUCGGAUUUUUUCUUUAAUUGUUAUAGUGAACACCUAUAUGUGCUUAGGUGAGUCUGAUUAAGGCUGAACAUGUAAGAACAAUUAUGAAAAGACUUCUCUCUUCCUACAUUUUUCCUCAUUUCCUUUUCUUAUCUUAAGUUUUCUAUCGAAUCCCCAAGUUUUGCAUUUUAUCGUAUCGUUAUAAAUUCUUGACAUUCCCUACAAGAUUAAAAUAUUUGAAAUCAUUUUAUAUGACGAUUUCAAAAGCAGCCAUCAUUGACAUUUAUUUUUUAAUCGCAUGCCGUAUUUUUUACGCAUUAAAUACGCACAAUGUUUAUUUGCUUGCACUUUUUCAAAGAUAUUCUAAUCAAUGAAAACGAAUAAAUUUUGAAAUUUCGAAAAAAUCAAAAACCACCCUAAAACAAAAAAGUAAUGUUAAAUAUGUAGCUAAAGAAUACUUAAUAAAUGAUUUUUCAAAAUAUCGAAAUGUAAUUAAAAUGUCAAGAAUACGACGAUUGUAUGCGCUUUUCUAUAUACAGCUUUGCGCAAUAGCAAAAAGUCCACCAUUAAUGCAUAAAGCCGUAUUCAAUGUAAUUCCAAGCGAAUAUGAACACGAUAAAAUAGCAGUGUUUUGCAAGAAACGAUUGAUAGACGCCCUGUGUAAUACCUGUCACUUUUUUAUUCUCACUUUUCACAGUACUUUUAUAAAGUAUUUCGACAGAGGCCCGUACACAAGAUUAAGAUAUCCGUGUAAUUCUCGGGUCUUGGUCUCAUUUUUUUGUGAUUAUUACAUAGAAACACGACGAGGUUUAAUGUAGACUAGGCUAGGCUAUAUUUUAAUUUUGCGUGAUUUUCAUUAGCUACCGCUUUGAAACUGCGCCAGGCAGAAGCUGACGGACAUUAUUAUUAUAAUUAUUUGUAUGUUUAUCGUAUACAUUCUUUCAACCUUCGGCCAAACUAUAUGGUCAAGAACUCGUUAUAACGUGAUAUCAUAGAUAAGGUCUAUUCUUUUUUUCUUAAUUAAAACAAUUAUCGAUGUCAAAGAUGUAGCCGACGAUAUUCUCUAUUGAAUAUUCAUAUUGCAUUGUUAGAAAGUAGAUAAUAUGGUUUACUGGUGGAUUAUACUAUUGCAUCUGCCAGAAAUAAAAGAAAAAGGAUAGACCAUCGAGUUCAUGGGCAUUUUCGCCAUAAGAAAGAAAAGAAAACAGAAAGGUCAGCUUCCCGCCGACGUGUUAAGCUAUUGUCGCAUGAAGAGGACGCGACUACAAUAAAGAUUGUAAUUUUUUUAUCAACUUAGCCGUGCCAUUGCGUUUCGCUAAGAAAUGUCGCGACUCGAUGUUUAUUCAGUUAACGGAAAAGAGAUAUGGCCUUUUCCGCUAUAAUUUUCCUCGAGAUUUAAGAGAUACAAUCUUAUCCAAGUGGCCUUAGGUGCAAUUUUGUCGUUAAGAGAGUCUAUUGUAGUGACGAUUGAUCAUUGUUUUCUAAAAGAACAAAGAAUGGAAGAUGAAAUGUAGACGUUGAGCUGCUAAAUCGAUUAAUCGGCAUAAAAUAAUCAUUAAUUAUGAAAGGACUUUGCGCAUAAUUGUACGUGUAUCAUAAGUUUAUCUUUCUUGUAGUUGAUAAGUUCAGAAGCAUAGUUUAUAUUAUUAUUAUUAUCAUGACGUAUACAAUUAUAUCGUAUGUAUAUUACGAGAAAACGUUUUGUGUAACGAAGGCAUACGGUCCCCUUUACAAUUUAAUGAACUCAGCGCGGAAUAGUCGCUAAUUAGACGAAUAUUUCGUGUAUCGACGUUCUGCAGAAGCUAAAUUUUGCCGCGAUGACGUACCGACGAAUUCUUUUCAAUCGUUAUUUUUUGUUUCUUUCUUUUUUUAUAACUUUCCAUGGGUAUCUCUUAUUUUAUUUGAUCUUGCUUAGAGUAUUUGUGUAUUGAACUUUGUUUGUUUAUCUGUAUACUUACUCACUUGUGUUUUAUGUUUACUAUGAAUCAAUUCGUUUAACUAACACUGUGUUAUUGCGGCGAAAUGCUUAAAUGUAAGGGUCGAGGAUCGUCUGUGCCUUCGAAUGCUCGUCAGCACGAUUUAAUGAUUGUAAUAACAGCAGCAUCCACUUUUGUGAUUUCCGUAAGCAAUUGUUCAGUUUUUUUUCAUACUUUCAGUAAUGCUUAUAUAGAAUAGCUUGUAUACCCUAAAGAGUGUUUCAAUAAACGACAAUGAAAUCAAAGAC